AAUAGAUACCCCGGUAGUCCACGCCGUAAACGAUGAGUGCUAAGUGUUAGGGGGGUUUCCGCCCCUUAGUGCUGCAGCUAACGCAUUAAGCACUCCGCCUGGGGAGUACGGUCGCAAGACUGAAACUCAAAGGAAUUGACGGGGGCCCGCACAAGCGGUGGAGCAUGUGGUUUAAUUCGAAGCAACGCGAAGAACCUUACCAGGUCUUGACAUCCCACUGACCGCUAUGGAGACAUAGUUUUCCCUUCGGGGACAGGUGGUGACAGGUGGUGCAUGGUUGUCAUCAGCUCGUGUCGUGAGAUGUUGGGUUAAGUCCCGCAACGAGCGCAACCCUUGAUCUUAGUUGCCAUCAUUUAGUUGGGCACUCUAAGGUGACUGCCGGUGACAAACCGGAGGAAGGUGGGGAUGACGUCAAAUCAUCAUGCCCCUUAUGACCUGGGCUACACACGUGCUACAAUGGACGGUACAAACGGUUGCCAACCCGCGAGGGGGAGCUAAUCCGAUAAAACCGUUCUCAGUUCGGAUUGUAGGCUGCAACUCGCCUAC
rnacentral:rRNA from 1 species